GACAGAGGGUGCAAACGUUGCUCGGAAUCACUGGGCGUAAAGGGUGCGUAGGCGGGUCUUUAAGUCAGGGGUGAAAUCCUGGAGCUCAACUCCAGAACUGCCUUUGAUACUGAGGAUCUUGAGUUCGGGAGAGGUGAGUGGAACUGCGAGUGUAGAGGUGAAAUUCGUAGAUAUUCGCAAGAACACCAGUGGCGAAGGCGGCUCACUGGCCCGAUACUGACGCUGAGGCACGGAAAGCGUGGGGAGCAAACAGG
rnacentral:rRNA from 1 species